rnacentral:rRNA from 1 species
GAUGAACGCUGGCGGCGUGCCUAAUACAUGCAAGUCGAGCGAACAGACGAGGAGCUUGCUCCUCUGACGUUAGCGGCGGACGGGUGAGUAACACGUGGAUAACCUACCUAUAAGACUGGGAUAACUUCGGGAAACCGGAGCUAAUACCGGAUAAUAUAUUGAACCGCAUGGUUCAAUAGUGAAAGACGGUUUUGCUGUCACUUAUAUAUGGAUCCGCGCCGCAUUAGCUAGUUGGUAAGGUAACGGCUUACCAAGGCAACGAUGCGUAGACGACCUGAGAGGGUUAUCGGCCACACGGGAACUGAAACACGGUCCAGACUACUUCGAGUAGCAGCAGUAGGGAAUGUUCCGCAAUGGGCAAGAGCCUGACGGAGCAACGCAGCGUGAGUGAUGAAGGUCUUCGGAUCGUAAAACUCUGUUAUUAGGGAAGAACAAGUGUGUAAGUAACUAUGCACGUCUUGACGGUACCUAAUCAGAAAGCCACGGCUAACUACGUG